AUGGCGCAUUAGUUAGUUGGUGGGGUAACGGCCUACCAAGACGAUGAUGCGUAGCCGACCUGAGAGGGUGACCGGCCACACUGGGACUGAGACACGGCCCAGACUCCUACGGGAGGCAGCAGUAGGGAAUUUUCGGCAAUGGGCGCAAGCCUGACCGAGCAACGCCGCGUGAGUGAUUAAGGCCUUCGGGUUGUAAAGCUCUGUUGUAAGGGAAGAACAUUCAAGAUAGGAAAUGAUCUUGAACUGACGGUACCUUACCAGAAAGCCACGGCUAACUACGUGCCAGCAGCCGCGGUAAUACGUAGGUGGCAAGCGUUAUCCGGAAUUAUUGGGCGUAAAGGGUGCGUAGGCGGUUUAUUAAGUCUAUGGUGAAAGUGCGGGGCUCAACCCCGUACGGCCAUAGAAACUGGUAGACUUGAGUGCAGGAGAGGGCAAUGGAAUUCCAUGUGUAGCGGUAAAAUGCGUAGAUAUAUGGAGGAACACCAGUGGCGAAGGCGGUUGCCUGGCCUGUAACUGACGCUGAAGCACGAAAGCGUGGGGAGCAAAUAGGAUUAGAUACCCUAGUAGUCCACGCCGUAAACGAGGAAUACUAAGUGUUGGAGAAAUUCAGUGCUGCAGUUAACGCAAUAAGUAUUCCGCCUGGGGAGUAUGCACGCAAGUGUGAAACUCAAAGGAAUUGACGGGACCCCGCACAAGCGGUGGAUUAUGUUGUUUAAUUCGACGCAACGCGAAGAACCUUACCAGGCCUUGACAUACUCAGCAAAGCCCUAGAGAUAGGGUGGAGGUUAUCUGGGAUACAGGUGGUGCAUGGUUGUCGUCAGCUCGUGUCGUGAGAUGUUGGGUUAAGUCCCGCAACGAGCGCAACCCUUGUCUUCAGUUACCAUCAUUCAGUUGGGGACUCUAGAGAGACUGCCGGUGAUAAACCGGAGGAAGGUGGGGAUGACGUCAAAUCAUCAUGCCCCUUAUGGCCUGGGCUACAAACGUAAUACAAUGGCGUAUACAAAGGGAUGCGAAAGGGCGACCUGGAGCAAAACUCAUAAAGUACGUCUCAGUUCAGAUUGGAGUCUGCAACUCGACUCCAUGAAGGCGGAAUCGCUAGUAAUCGCGGAUCAGCAUGCCGCGGUGAAUACGUUCUCGGGGUUUACACUCACCGCCCGUCAA
rnacentral:rRNA from 1 species